rnacentral:rRNA from 1 species
UACGGAGGGGGCUAGCGUUAUUCGGAAUUACUGGGCGUAAAGCGCACGUAGGCGGAUCAGAAAGUCAGAGGUGAAAUCCCAGGGCUCAACCUUGGAACUGCCUUUGAAACUCCUGGUCUUGAGGUCGAGAGAGGUGAGUGGAAUUCCGAGUGUGGAGGUGAAAUUCGUAGAUAUUCGGAGGAACACCAGUGGCGAAGGCGGCUCACUGGCUCGAUACUGACGCUGAGGUGCGAAAGCGUGGGGAGCAAACAGG